UGGGGAAUUUUGGACAAUGGACGCAAGUCUGAUCCAGCUAUGCCGCGUGCGGGAAGAAGGCCUUCGGGUUGUAAACCGCUUUUGUCAGGGAAGAAACGAGUUUCUCUAAUACAGAGACUUAAUGACGGUACCUGAAGAAUAAGCACCGGCUAACUACGUGCCAGCAGCCGCGGUAAUACGUAGGGUGCAAGCGUUCAUCGGAAUUACUGGGCGUAAAGCGUGCGCAGGCGGUUAUGCAAGACAGAUGUGAAAUCCCCGGGCUCAACCUGGGAACUGCAUUUGUGACUGUAUAGCUAGAGUACGGCAGAGGGGGAUGGAAUUCCGCGUGUAGCAGUGAAAUGCGUAGAUAUGCGGAGGAACACCGAUGGCGAAGGCAAUCCCCUGGGCCUGUACUGACGCUCAUGCACGAAAGCGUGGGGAGCAAACA
rnacentral:rRNA from 1 species